GUGGGCCUAUCCAAUUCCAUGGUUCGUGGGUGUAGUUUUUUUUUUUUUUUUUUGUUCGUCCAAGUCUAUUAACCAAACUACACAUUGAAGGCCACAACCAGUCCAUCAUUUACUUCCCUCCUUGACUCCUUGGUUUAAAUGACCGUUGCAGAUCCAGCCAGCGCCACAAUAACCGCCAAGCCACUUCUUUUAUCUGGUCAAUACAAAUGAUGACUCUCCCUCCCUCCCUCUCUCUCUCUCUCUAUAUAUAUAUGUGUGUGUGUAUAAAUGAGAAGAACGAUGGUUUGUUUCUGUUUUAUUCAAAGUCAAAUUCAUCUUAAUAUGAAGCGUCAAUUUUGUACACGCAUUUCUCCUCUGCAAAACCAACCUCCACAAUCAACAUAGGUUCAAUCUCUUCCUUAAGAUCUCCUUCAGAUUGAUCAGUCAAUGGAUCAAACUUCACAGCUGACUAACCAAAUUGCAAACAACGAAGACUCUAAUACAGAUUAUCAGUCAGAUUCAGGACAUACAUUGCUUCAUGAAAGAUCAAGUCCAAGUAAUUAUAGUACUUCAAUCAUCUCUAGGAGGAGUCCACUGCCACUAUCAGGAGCCACAAGAGGAAUUAGUAACAGAGGCAUUGCUGAAACUUCAAACCUCUCGUCAGCAGAUACAACUGAGCAUAUCAGAAACACUGAUUCGGGUGCAUCAGGUGUUCCUAAUCCUAGGAAUUACACCACAUUGUCUCUCAACCCAGUUCUUGAUUGCCAUUUUCCUCCUCCUCGAAUGACUUAUGCAUUACAAUAUAUUCUACAGAGGCCUUUACUGCCUGCCUCCAGGUUCAUCGCUUGGAAUGGAAGUUCUGCACAUCAAGUCCAUAGCCAACCUCCUGCUUCAUCAGACGAGAUUUGGUCUCAGGAUGAGACUGAUCAUAUUAGGCGGCAAUAUGAGGAAUCAAUUCUCUGUAUGCUUAGGGUACCUGAUGAUUCAUUAGAAGGGUCAAUGGCAUUAACAAUCUUGCCAGCUGGCAAUGGAGUGAAUCUCAGACUUGUAUCGGAGGAGCAGGACAUUCCAUUUCUAAUCCAAUCAUUAUUUUCUUUUAUAACUGAUAUGAUUGAUCGCUAUAGAGAUAUGAGGAUUGACGUGGAUCGCAUGUCCUAUGAGGAGCUGUUGGCUUUGGAAGAUCACAUAGGGAAUGUUGACACAGGAUUGUCUGAAGAAACAAUGACGAAAUCCCUCAAACACUGUAAAUACUUUUUACUCACAGAAGAGAAUGCUGAGAAAGAUUCUUGCAGUGUGUGCCAGGAGGAUUAUGAAGAAGAGGAUGAUUUGGGAAUACUGAAUUGUGGCCAUCGCUUCCACAUGGAGUGUAUUAAACGAUGGCUAAGAUGCAAAAAUCUCUGCCCUGUAUGUAAAUCUACUGCUUUGUGUACAACAGACCACACAUUGCCACAAAUUUGUAGUCUGUAAGAUUACCUAGAUGAAGUUAAAACUUCAUUUUUGGGAAGAAAGUUAUUUUAUCUGUUUGUGCAGAUUACUGUGGAAGUCAAUUUGUUCAUAUAUAAACAUUAUGAGAAAAGAUACUUAGGAAGUUAGCCAUUAGCAGCUGCAAAUUUAUAGAAGGAUGAUUGUCCCAUCAAGUUUUGUUCUGGAACUGCCUAUAUGUACAGAUCCAAUCUUGAACUUUUUCUUCUGAAAGUAUAUUGAUUUUUUUUCCCCAAAA